CGCAAGGGGAGUGGCAGACGGGUGAGUAACGCGUGGGAACAUACCCUUUCCUGCGGAAUAGCUCCGGGAAACUGGAAUUAAUACCGCAUACGCCCUACGGGGGAAAGAUUUAUCGGGGAAGGAUUGGCCCGCGUUGGAUUAGCUAGUUGGUGGGGUAAAGGCCUACCAAGGCGACGAUCCAUAGCUGGUCUGAGAGGAUGAUCAGCCACAUUGGGACUGAGACACGGCCCAAACUCCUACGGGAGGCAGCAGUGGGGAAUAUUGGACAAUGGGCGCAAGCCUGAUCCAGCCAUGCCGCGUGAGUGAUGAAGGCCUUAGGGUUGUAAAGCUCUUUCACCGAUGAAGAUAAUGACGGUAGUCGGAGAAGAAGCCCCGGCUAACUUCGUGCCAGCAGCCGCGGUAAUACGAAGGGGGCUAGCGUUGUUCGGAAUUACUGGGCGUARAGCGCACGUAGGCGGAUAUUUAAGUCAGGGGUGAAAUCCCGCAGCUCAACUGCGGAACUGCCUUUGAUACUGGGUAUCUUGAGUAUGGAAGAGGUAAGUGGAAUUCCGAGUGUAGAGGUGAAAUUCGUAGAUAUUCGGAGGAACACCAGUGGCGAAGGCGGCUUACUGGUCCAUU
rnacentral:rRNA from 1 species